rnacentral:rRNA from 1 species
UCGGGAAUUUUGGGCAAUGGGCGAAAGCCUGACCCAGCAACGCCGCGUGAAGGAUGAAGUAUUUCGGUAUGUAAACUUCGAAAGAAUAGGAAGAAUAAAUGACGGUACUAUUUAUAAGCUCCGGCUAACUACGUGCCAGCAGCCGCGGUAAUACGUAGGGAGCAAGCGUUGUUCGGAUUUACUGGGCGUAAAGGGCGCGUAGGCGGCGCGGUAAGUCACUUGUGAAAUCUCUGAGCUUAACUCAGAACGGCCAAGUGAUACUGCAGUGCUAGAGUGCAGAAGGGGCAAUCGGAAUCCUUGGUGUAGCGGUGAAAUGCGUAGAUAUCAAGAGGAACACCUGAGGUGAAGACGGGUUGCUGGGCUGACACUGACGCUGAGGCGCGAAAGCCAGGGGAGCAAACGGGAUUAGAUACCCAGGUAGUCCCUGAGCGGGCUGGCAAGGCGCAU